AUUGAACGCUGGCGGCAGGCCUAACACAUGCAAGUCGAGCGAGCGGCGGACGGGUGAGUAAUGUCUGGGAAACUGCCUGAUGGAGGGGGAUAACUACUGGAAAAGGUAGCUAAUACCGCAUACCAUCAGAUGUGCCCAGAUGGGAUUAGCUAGUAGGUGGGGUAACGGCUCACCUAGGCGACGAUCCCUAGCUGGUCUGAGAGGAUGACCCGCCAGCCUGGAACUGAGACACGGUCCAGAGUCCUACGUGAGGCAGCAGGAGGGAAUAUUGCGCAAUGGGCGCAAGCCUGAUGCAGGCUGGCCGCGUGUGUGAAGAAGGCAUUCGGAUUGUAAAGCACUUUCAGCGGGGAGGCGUUACCCGCAGAAGAAGCACCGGCUAAGUACGUGCCAGCAGCCGCGGUAAUAC
rnacentral:rRNA from 1 species